rnacentral:rRNA from 1 species
AUUGAACGCUGGCGGCAGGCUUAACACAUGCAAGUCGAGCGGGGUGAUGGUGCUUGCACUAUCACUUAGCGGCGGACGGGUGAGUAAUGCUUAGGAAUCUGCCUAUUAGUGGGGGACAACAUCUCGAAAGGGAUGCUAAUACCGCAUACGUCCUACGGGAGAAAGCAGGGGAUCACUUGUGACCUUGCGCUAAUAGAUGAGCCUAAGUCGGAUUAGCUAGUUGGUGGGGUAAAGGCCUACCAAGGCGACGAUCUGUAGCGGGUCUGAGAGGAUAAUCCGCCACACUGGGACUGAGACACGGCCCAGACUCCUACGGGAGGCAGCAGGGGGGAAUAUUGGACAAUGGGGGGAACCCUGAUCCAGCCAUGCCGCGUGUGUGAAGAAGGCCUUAUGGUUGUAAAGCACUUUAAGCGAGGAGGAGGCUCUUUUGGUUAAUACCCAAGAUGAGUGGACGUUACUCGCAGAAUAAGCACCGGCUAACUCUGUGCCAGCAGCCGCCGUAA